rnacentral:rRNA from 1 species
AUACGUAGGUGCAAGCGUUGUCCGGAAUUACUGGGUGUAAAGGGCGUGUAGGCGGGGAUGCAAGUCAGAUGUGAAAUUCCGGGGCUCAACCCCGGCACUGCAUCUGAAACUGUGUCUCUUGAGUGCUGGAGAGGAAAGCGGAAUUCCUAGUGUAGCGGUGAAAUGCGUAGAUAUUAGGAGGAACACCAGUGGCGAAGGCGGCUUUCUGGACAGUAACUGACGCUGAGGCGCGAAAUCGUGGGUAGCGAACAGGAUUAGAUCCCCUGGUAUUCCACGCCGUAAACGAGGGAUACUAGGUGUAGGAGGUAUCGACCCCUUCUGUGCCGGAGUUAACACAAUAAGUAUCCCACCUGGGGAGUACGGCCGCAAGGUUGAAACUCAAAUGAAUUGACGGGG